CCUACGGGAGGCAGCAGUGAGGAAUAUUGGUCAAUGGCCGGAAGGCUGAACCAGCCAAGUCGCGUGAGGGACGACUGCCCUAUGGGUUGUAAACCUCUUCUAUAAGGGAAGAAGAAAUGCUAAGUGUAGCAUGAGGCCUGUACCUUAUGAAUAAGCAUCGGCUAACCCCGCGCCAGGAGCCGCGGUAAUACGGAGGAUCCGAUGGUGAAGCGGAUGUGUUGGGUUUAAAGGAUGCGGAGGCGGUCAGGUAAGUUAGAGGUGAAAGCUCCAUGCUCAACCUCGAAACUGCCUCUGAUACUGUCUGACUAGAGUGUAGUUGCGGAAGGCGGAAUGUUUGGUGUAGCGGUGAAAUGCUUAGAUAUCACACAGAACACCGAUUGCGAAGGCAGCUUUCCGAGCUAUUACUGACGCUGAGGCACGAAAGCGUGGGGAGCGAACAGGAUUAGAUACCCUGGUAGUC
rnacentral:rRNA from 1 species